CACGUAGGGGGCGAGCGUUGUCCGGAAUUACUGGGCGUAAAGGGCGCGUAGGCGGUAGUUUAAGUCAGAUGUGAAAACCUUGGGCUUAACCUGAGGAUGGCAUUUGAAACUGGAUUACUUGAGGGCAGGAGAGGAAAGCGGAAUUCCCAGUGUAGCGGUGAAAUGCGUAGAUAUUGGGAAGAACACCGGUGGCGAAGGCGGCUUUCUGGACUGAACCUGACGCUGAGGCGCGAAAGCCAGGGGAGCGAACGGGAUUAGAUACC
rnacentral:rRNA from 1 species